rnacentral:pre_miRNA from 1 species
UAUGUACUCCCUCCGUCCGAAAAUACUUGUCAUCAAAAUGAAUAAAAGAAGAUGUAUCUAGACAUAUUUUAGUUCUAGAUACAUCUCUUUUUAUCCAUUUUGAUGACAAGUAUUUCCGGACGGAGGGAGUAGGAA